AGAGCAGCUUGAUAUUAAGUGGACCUCUCCAGAUGAAGAGGGUAUAGUUCAGUUUUUGGUGAAUGAAAAUGGAUUCAACAUUGAUAGGGUAACAAAGGCCAUAGAGAAAAUUAAAACUGCGAAGAACAAAUCAUCCCAGGGCAGG